GAUGAACGCUGGCGGCGUGCUUAACACAUGCAAGUCGAACGAUCGCAAGAUAGUGGCGCACGGGUGAGGAACACGUAGCUAACCUGCCUUUGGGUCUGGGAUAACGUCGCGAAAGUGACGCUAAGACCGGAUAAGCUCCCGGGUUGUAGAGACCAGAGAGAAAAGGGGCAAGACGCCUGAAGAGGGGGCUGCGGCGCAUCAGCUAGUUGGUGGGGUAAAGGCCUACCAAGGCAACGACGCGUAAGGGGUCUGAGAGGAUGAUCCCUCACACUGGGACUGAGACACGGCCCAGACUCCUACGGGAGGCAGCAGUGAGGAAUAUUGCACAAUGGGGGCAACCCUGAUGCAGCGACGCCGCGUGGGUGAUGACGGCCUUCGGGUUGUAAAGCCCUUUUGCCAUUGACGAGAACGGACGGUAGAUGGCGAAUAAGCCUCGGCUAACUACGUG
rnacentral:rRNA from 1 species